rnacentral:misc_RNA from 1 species
UAGGAUAUUAUCUCUAUACCACACA